AAAGGAGCAUUACAUGCAAUGGAGUUUACUGAUGGAGUUUGAUGAUGGGGGUAAGAGAUGUUUUAACAGAGUCAUGACAAUAUUGAUACAGAUUCCAAGAUUCAUUCUAAAGGGUCAUUCAAGAGCAAAGUUCGAGAAGUGGAACAUUUAAUUGGUUUUCAUGUUGAUUGUUCUAAGAGAAGCACAAUGCCCCAGAAUUAUUCCUUAUACAAGAAUCCCUUAGACCAGUGGUUCCCAAACCAGUCUUCGUGGUCCACCAACAAUCCAGGAUUUAUGUAUUUACCUUUUUUAUUCCAGUGGAAAUGCUGACAAAACCUGCACUGUUGCUGGGUCAUGAGGACUGGUUUGGGGACUCCAGAUGAGUCUUAGAACCAUUGGCUACGUGCAGACCUUGAGACAUUUGUUUGAAUGGUGGCUUGGAUUUCUUCUCCUUCAUGUUCCCUCUAAUAAUGGUUUAAACUAUGUUUCAUAAGUGACUUGUUUGUAGUCAUAUUCAAGAAAAUGAAGAAUUCAGGGUCUUGGUUGGCAAGUAGGAAAUUAUUUUACAUGAUAAUUUGUUCAAGUUUGUUCUACUAAUGGAGGCAAGGGAAGGGGGUGGGAAACAAAACCCUAAUUAUUGGAGUAAAGGUGCUUGAGUAAUAGGGACAUAUUUUCAUUUUUUUGGGGAUUGUGUGGUUUAGGAGUGUGAGUUAAUAUACAGUUAGAUGUCCAGGAGCUUCUGGCACUUUUGGCACUUAGGAACAUCCCUGGUCCAGGAGGGUCAGCAGAGUGGAAGAACAUGUGUAUCCAUAGAUGAGCUGGGCAUUGAUUGAUCCUCUUAUAUAUAGCCUAGGAGUAAUAACCCAUCCUCUCAUUUUACCAGGAAUGGAAGGAAGGGGUGCUGGGAUCUCAAACACAUUGUAUGUAUUUUAGAGAGCUGAGCAUUCAUGAUUUCCACUGCAGGGUCGGGUUUGUGCAUGUUUGGUGAGAUCUGAGACUAAGGAAACAUUUUUGUUGAGGUGGCUAGCAUAAACUCAAGGUAAAAGAAAUGUACAUGGGUUUUGUAACACUUUGCAUGAUCUUAACCUCAGCACAGAGCAUUUACAGUUUCCUGUCUUUUUAGUUUCGUAUUUAGUAAAACCUUCGAGGUCAAUGGAUGCCUUAGUGGGGAGCAAUAAUUAACACCACCGCCAUCACAAUAUUUUUUUAAUGACAUUUUACUUUAUUUAACACCCCAGGUAUGAUGGAUGAGAGGGGCUGGCUGGCCUACCAUGGGGCUGGAUGGCUGUGUGCCAUGUUCCAUCUAAGGAGUGAUCCAGCACUAAAAAGCAAUUAGCAAAGAAAUAUUUGAUUUGAUGUUUUCUUAUAAUAAUUUUUUUAUUGAACGUAUUCUCUGGGCAUCUAAACAUGUGUAAGGCAAUGGAUAGGCUAGUGCUAGAUAUGCUGAAGGUUAUUUUUUAUUAAUAUUCUUUUAUGUUAUUUAUUUUUCUAGCAAUAAUUAGUUUUGUUCUAUAUGGCAUUUUUUGCCAUAUUUUUCGCCAAGUUUUGUCAUUAUGGUCAAAUAGCACUAGCAUACAUAAUGACAUGUAGACAGCUGACAAUUAACCACAACGUCUAUAGAUAGUGAUGACUAACUGAGUCACUUUCAGGUCUGGGAUGGGAAUACUGAUGACGUUACAGAACUUCAAGAUUUGCAGUAUGGGCAGGAACUUCAAAUGUGAGUACGUUUUUAUUUUGUAGUUAAUAUUGCUUUAUUUUUUUAAAGGAACACCACAACACCAUUAACAUACAGCAAGCUUUUGUGAUUAUGGUGUUAAAAGUGGCCUGGCACCAACCCCACCUCAAGCAGUCGAAAUGUUUUAGAAGAGUUUAACCACUUACCUGCGGUCUGCAGGUGCCGAUCUCCAGCUCCACUACUUCAUGUAGAGACCCGGAAGCUCCUGCUCCAGUGAUUGCUCUGAGCCCUGCAGUACAGAGUUAUCUCAUUGGCUAAGAGCAUCCAGUGAUUGCUCUGAGCCCUGCAGUUAGGAGUUAUCUCAUUGGCUGAGAGCAUCCAGUGAUUGCUCUGAGCCCUGCAAUAUGGAGUUAUCUCAUUGGCUGAGAUCAUCCGGUGAUUGCUCUGAGCCCUGCAGUUAGGAGUUAUCUCACUGGCUGAGAGCAUCCAGUGAUUGCUCUGAGCCUUGCAGUAUGGAGUUAUCUCAUUGGCUGAGAUCAUCCGGUGAUUGCUCUCAGCCCUGCCCCACCAGAUCUAGCUGAGACACAGAGCUCCUGGCACUCUGUUAGGAGUAGUGGAAGCAGACAGGCCAGGUAAGAGGUCAACCCAUUCUAUGUACAUUACUGGUAUCAUUACUGGUAUCAUAAACACUAUAACGAGCUUUAGUGCUAAUGAUGCUUGGAGUGUUGCUUUAAUUCAAUAUCUAUAUAAUGCAGAAAAAAAUGAGUUAGCUCCAUCGGGGAUCAUCUCUUUAAUUAUUAAUGAUAACACUGCUUAGUGAAAUGAUUCCUGUAAAUGCUACGGAUGUGCAUUAUGAGCAGAUAUGUUAAUAAUCUGAGAAAAUCAGGCUGGAGAUUACCUACCCAUUAUGAUACUCCACUGUUUCUGAUGAAUAUUUGGGAGUCGGAGAGACUAACCUCAACUUUUUGUGUUGUGAAUAACCCUCUAGUAUUGUCCUGGGAUUCUGUAUAUAUAACACCUAUAUAGGUUAUUUUCAGUAAGGGCUCAUUUGUCUCCAAGCCACCAGCCAGCCCCUGCUUUCUGACUCAUUAAAACUACCCCCAUCAACUCAUCCAGAACCCCUGUCUAAUAUGAGGGCCUGUCAAAUGCAUUAACGAGAACACUGCCAAAUGGGCAAGCAACAUAUUGCUAAAACACGCAUUGCUUGUCGAACUGGCAGUGAAAAAAGUUAAUCUGAAUUGGUUUUGUUUAAAUCCAAGGAAAUAAUUCUAUACAUUUAUG